UAUGUGGAUCUGAUCUCCUUCUCGUAGAUGAACAUCACCAUGAUAGGUCUUCGUGUGCGUAGGAAUUUUUUUGUUUCCCAUGCAACGUUCCCCAACAGAAUCAACACGUACACUUCCAUUUGUACCCAUGUUCCUUUCCUGCUUCAAUGUUGCUAUUCCAACCUUGUCUUUGCUCUGGUCCACAAGAUGCCAAGAGGUAGUACCACGCUAGGCAGCGGAAGUACCGCUUACCUCGUAAGCGGUAGUACUGCACUGGGGUGGUGCUACUACUGCUCUCGGGCGGUAGUAGCUCUAUCCAGUGUCACGCAUUGUACCGCUUGCUUUGGGGUCUCGACUUUUCAUGUCGGAUUGAGCGGUUUUUAGUCGAUAGUAGUGCACUGUAAUACCGCUCCCAAGUGGUAGUACCGCCGGCUACUACCACACCC
rnacentral:lncRNA from 1 species